GUGCUAUUGUCCUCUGCUGCUGCUGCUGCUGAAGCACAGCAAGACUUUGAAACAGUCUCCAUGACAAUCUAAGAUAGGCAGCCUGGAUCUUAAUGGGGGUGAUACAUGACUGCGAUUGCAUCCUGCGGAGCAAGGACAAUCAGCUGUGGAGUUUUGACAUUUGUAGACAGAAAAGGAAGCUAAGGUGCCUGCCAUGUUGCCUUCGCCUCUGCAUCAGAGUCAAGCAUAGACUUCAGCACUUCAGAGAGAGUAUUCAUUUGUAUCUUCUGGUACCCAAAGGUAAAAGAUUUUAUUAAGAAAACUGUAUGAGGAAAAUACAUUAAAAAAAAAAGCAAAAUGGAGGAUUCAUGCUGUGUGCUACAUGCGCUUCAAGAAACCUGCGGUGGUUAAAAUCUAUGAAGACUGAAGGACUGGAAAUGCAGCCAGAGCCAGCCAGAACUCCAAGAGGGCACUUUGAUACAGGAUUUAGGUUUCCCAAUGGAAACAAAAGAGACAGAGUACUAUGCUUAUAAAGUACAGACACUAACUGAAUGUAAUCGAGUCCUGUCACUUUAUAAAUUACCAUUCAUCCUCUGAGCCUUCAUAAGUGUGUGAGGAAAGUGAGAAUGGAACAGGUUGAAUGUUUGGGCAUCCUUCACAAAGAAUUCUGGAUAGACAUCAAUGCCCACCGAGAGAGUCUUUUGAAAAGGUAACGAAUACCAAUGUUGAAAUACUGUGUUGGUUUGAUAGCAGAAAUCAGAGACGGUAAAUGGGGCAUAGGGCUAGAGAAAGACAGAGGGAUAAGAGUGACAAGUGGGAAUAUGUUGAGCCUGUUCUGUUUCUGCUAUAUAUAGGAGACAGCAGAUAUCUUACAGAAGGAAAUGUAGAACAAGAUGUUCGGUUUUGGAGAUGAUGUGGAACUGACAACCUGAGAAAUACCAUCCGUAAAGGAAGUAAGUUGAAAAUGCUGAGAAAUCUGCCUUAUGUUUAGGAUACGAGUGAUGAGCAGGCACUGCGAAGCAAGAUGGCGAGACCAGAAUACGGCAGUGCAAACUUUGUUCCAUUUGCUCAUUUAAUCUUGAUGCUGGCUCGGAAACCAGAGGGGUCAUUCAGUAGGUACACUGACAAGAGAAAGCCUAAGUCUAAAUAGAUCAUCAGGUUACAUAUGCAAAGAGCUAAAAAGAGGAUAAAUAGUUUUCAGAAAAUGAAGUAAGUUGUUAGAGCUGAAGAACAAGUAAGCGAACAUCCUUGGAGCCAUUAGUUACUUAUGCAGAAAUAUGCCAAAUGGCAUUUCCAUAGUGGUAAUAGUAAUUAAAAGUGCAAGAGCAGCACUGCACUGGAGGCUAAGCAGCUCCCCACGUGGCUGGCUUCUAUCCUGACAAGAAGCUAAUAAAGCAUUUCAGCAGGCCAUGAAGGGAAUCUCGAAUCAGGUAGCUAAUGCUUUCAGUGCUUUAUUUGGUUAUGAGCAUUUUAGGACAUUUAAAGACUACAUGUAAAAUACUGUGUAUGUAUUGUUUAGCUGCAAAACCAGUUAAUAUUCCCUUGAGCCCAUACAUGCAUGGAUUGUAUGCCCCAGUGUGAUUUGAUCUGUCUGACUCCACUAUCUUGAAAUCACAAACCUUAUUCCUCUACAACUCAACAAAUCUGAAGUAUAUCCGAGGUUUCAGAGACAAAACUUCCAGAGCGGAGGGUUUAUCACUGAAAUGAUGAGAUCCAGUAAUGGGCACAAGACACAUCCAGUCUACGCACCUCUUCUGUUCACAUUCUAGGGAUCUGAGCUUAGAUACAGGACCUGGAAACUCCUGCAGAGUCUCAGCAGUGGCACUGAUGGAGGCAGUCAGGCCAGCUGCCUGUCAAGGACUGUAGGAAGAAGGUGAAUGAGGCUUGCAGAAAGAAGAGCAAAAUGUCUUAUCUGUGACGAAGUAAAAGGAUACCAUCAGCCUGGAUAGAAGGAAGGGGCAGUGAAUCUUGUGUAAGGCUUUUUAUUGUAAAAUAUUGACUAUGUUCAUUUGGAUGCUGCCCAGCCAUCCUCACAAACAAAUGUGCUCCAUUGACACUGAUACUUCUGUGCUUCCUACUCAGCUUUUCUAAGACAAAGAGGGUCAUGGCGAAAUGAUGCUGAAAAAAAAAAGAUCUCCCAUUUUCUGAGCUGAAGCAAUGCCAAGAUCAAUAUUGCAUGAAACAAUCAUCUGAUGCGCCGUAACAGCACUGUCUGUAGCUUUCAUUGCAACCCUUCUCUGUGUUUCUGGAUGAUCUCUGGAAACAGAGGAAUGGUUUCCUUGUUGUUAUGAGUAAUACACAUCAAAGUGACUUUAAUGCAUGAAACCAAAAAUGGCAAAGGGUUUCUGAGGAGUAAACAGUAUGAACUCUUAUCUCAGAUACAAAUAAAGGAAUUGCUGUUCUUAACGUGGGGGAUUGGGAGCCCUCGUGGGUUCCCAUAGUCCUCACUGAUCCACAGGCAGAAAUUCUAGCAAACAUUGUGUUCAGGACAACGUCAAAAAUGGCUCUUUCUUCUACCCACAAAAGUUAUGUGGUUUUCUAUCUCAUGUUUUACAUCAUUUCUAUCUGGGUUUAUCCCAUUUGCUGUCCUCAGAAAGCUCUCCCAAGAUUCUACUCUCCAGUAACCUCAGUAACAAAUCAGAGACAUGCAGUACUUUCUGCUCAAUUAAGAACAGAAAAACACCCCUAGUCCAUGCAUUAUGUAGCCUGAUGCUAAAACUGGUGCUGAGCAGCUCAUACGGAUGUUCAAGAAGACUACAACAGGCAGUGGAAGAAUAAUGUCUCCAUAAAAUACACUUCCUCCUGAUCUUUGUUAUUUAGUCAUAAUUGCCCAAUAGCAUUUGGACUUUUUUUUUUGAUUUUUUUUUUAAAGAGGAAAACUGCAACAAUCUAUAUGUGUUCCUUUCUACAUAAAUGUGAGCUUUUUGAGGACUCUGCCACAAAAUGAAAUCUUUCAGCAGGGAGAAAUCUAGCAACACUGAGUGCUAUGCCUGCUGCCUGCCCUGUUCUUCCCUCACUCUAACUCUCGCUGGGACCCUAUGCAUUUAUUCCCUGCCACCAGCUCACUGUUCUCCAUCUCUGAAACAUUAUAUAACAGCGUGGAGAUGUUUCUUUGUGGGAAUAGCUCUGCCAACCAACUCACUCUUGUGAAAUGAGGAUGCCACUCCGGCAACCUUACUAUCCAGAGAUGAGCUGGGCAGUGUGAGCUAAGACUGCAGGGCAGUGAAAAUGAUUGCGAAACAUUCCCAGCUUUAUAGCCUCUCUUAGAUUUGGGAUGGCCUACCAGUUUAUGCUGUUAAGUGUUGUCUUUAUGCUCUGUGUUUCCUUCACAGAUGCUGCAAUACAGGGACUGCUCUGCUUCUGCCACUGACCUUUUCUGUGGCCUUAACUAAAUGGCUUUACUCACUGGUUCUUUAAUUGAAUUGCGCACUUGCAGAGUGUGAUCCCUCUUUAGUGUGCCAGCGUCAUGGUGUUGACUUGGUGGAGACUUUUAGCAUUGUAACAUAAUAAGUAAUAAUGAAAAUUAACUAGCUUAGAAGAAUCAAGCAGAUUUCAUUCGGCCCUGAAUUAAAACCUUUUCUGUUCCAUGAUAUUCUGAGGUUUUGCUAAGCUUUUGAGAAAAAUAGAGAUGGAUUUGUAAUGUCAUGUACUGGCUAAGCUUUCAGACUCAUGUAUGCUUACACAAAUAUUUUUAAUAUCACUUCACUCUUCAUGUUCCUAUAGUCUGCCAGUUUUACACAAACCUAGUCCUGUCUAAUUUUUCCUACAAAACAAGCUAUUAAUAGAUGACCGUUUUGCUGCUCCACUGCACUAAUCAUUUGUUUGCGCACAAAGAUUACUUACAGACUGUUCUUUUUAUUAAGCUGAUUUAAUUUGUUAAAAUUCUAUUUGAUUAUAUAGAAGAAAGAGGCUGUUGAACCUCUGCAGAUGCCUUUGACCUGUUCCACAGAGCAAUAUUGUGCUGUCGUCUCCAGAGUUCUGUAAUCUAUACAUUUGCUUUUCAUUCUUAUUCUAAUUUUGUCUGCUAAUAUUACCUUUCCAAAACGACUGUUUCAUUUGCCUUUCAGCAAACAAUAUUUCACCUUUCCAAACUGUCUUAUCCAUAUUUUUACUAGGUUUCUGUUCUAAUGCAAUCCAUUAUUUUUGAAGGCUUUCAACAAGUAGAAGGAUAUCACCGUACUCAGAGUACUGGUCAGAAAAAUGAUCGUUAAGGUUUUACGUGACCGUUUUUAGAGACUUUGACUGUGAUGAUUUAUAAUAGAAGAAGGUGCUUAAGUUCACCCAUGCUGCACAAAUUCAGCUUUCUCUAAAGCACCGAACUUCUCUUUGAUCACAUGAUCAUGUUCUCCUGCCUUUCAUAUAAAUGCAUGGUUACACAUAUCUAGAAAGAAGUGAAUAAAAUGAGACAUGCUGUAGCCAGCAGUUACAGUGACAAGAUUAUUCUGAAUGGUCGUUAAAGUUUCUCGUGUUAGUGACUGGCAAAUAGUUAAGUCUUAAAAUCCUGAGUCCAAUAGAAUGUAGUGGCAACUGUGAAACAUAAUAAUUUCCCAAUAAAUUUCUUAAAACAGAGGACUUGCAGCCUAUCAGAUAUACAGAGUUCGCCUGUCUUUAAUUUUAAAAGCCCAAAGAAUGUACAAACCGUGCAAGCUUGUAGUCCCUUGUUAAUUAUACUCUGUGUUUAUAUAGCAGUUUUAUCUCAAAACCCUCUUCAAACAUUAAGACUCCUAGCACUUCUUUCCUGUAGGUAUUAUUAUCCUUGUCAUUAUCAUUAUCGCAUUUUCCAUUUUAUAGGUGAUAAAUGAGCAAAAUCACACUGUGAGUCAGUAGCUGAAUUGGGAAUAGAAUAUUGUAGUCCUGAUUUUGUCUGUUGCAUUAAUUACUCACUAACAUUAUUGUUGUUUGUGGGUUGAAGUUCGGUGUAAUAUCUCUACAACUAAGCAGGAUUCUUUUGAUUUGCAAAUUUUUUGUUUGUAUAGCUCUCGAACUAAUAUUUUUCAACUGUUAGUCUGGCUUUAAGUAGCUAAUAAGAGAUGCUGUCAUCUUCCAGUUAAAUAAGUAUCAAUAGAUUUUGUUUAAUGUGAUACAAUUUGCAUAAUGGACUGGAACAGCUCAAAUGAAGCUUAGUCUAUCAAGCAAUGAAAUAUUUAGGUAUUUAGGUUGUGUUCUAGUCUAGCAAUAGUAAAAGUCAUUAUGGAAAUCUAUGGAGAAACGUAUUUUUGUAAAGCAGUUGCUCUUUAAAUGACAACUGUUAUUAAUUAGUCUUUUUUAAAUGUGAAAAUACCAUAUGUGAUGACUAAAUUGAGUUAAAGCCACUUGCCAAAUUAUUUUUUCUUUAAAUCAGAAAUAAUCUUGGCUAAUACAAAACAUGCAAAUGACACCUUCAUCAACUAGAGGGUUAAAUGCAUUUUCUCCUUUUCCAGGACUGUUUUCAUCUGGAAAGGCAAUCUAAUCACUUCAUUGGCUAAAACAUAAGUAGCUUAGCUUCAAAACAUCCCACUACCAGCAUCCUUUUCCUUUGUUUCUCUGUCAUCAAAUGUUGUAGGAAAUAGUGUGAUGGUGUGCUGUCUCCCACCUCAGCCCGACCUUCUUGUGUAACUUAUAAUCAAACGAUAACCACCAGUGGUGAUCACCAUGCUUGGUGAUGGUCAUGAUGCGUGCAUUCACCUCAUGGUGAUUUCAGAGCAGACAGAUAACAACACAACAGCCAAGGGCUAAUCUAUGGUAAUGCAUUCACCUGGCCACAGCGCUGGUCAGGGUCCAACUCAAGGCAAAUCUGGAAGAAACUGGCACCUGCAGCUGGUAUGUAAAAAUAACUAUGAGUCAGUCAUCUUACUCCAUAAAUAGUGAGGAGUCCAGGAACCCUUUGAGCUUUCCUGAAAUGACGGCUGUCUGCCAUUGGGAUCUCUUCUUGAACCGGACGGUUCUCAAGGUUACUCCUAGAGGCUGAGAGAAUCCUUACCGCAACAGACCAUUGGUAAGUGAAUUGGGAAUAAAUGCAUAGCAACAUUGUGACCUUACCUAAGAGGUAUAAAGGAAUUGAUGGCGCAUAUAUAAGUCUUUAGACAUGAACUGUUGACCAAGUCUGAGACUAAGACUGGAUCCAGUCACACCUAGACUCUCUCUGAGGAGGGGUUUAGAAUGCAAGGUGGUCCUCUCUGAGCAUCACCACUCGAAUGGAAGGUCUUUCUGAGUUCUUAUCUGACCCUGUCCUCUGUGCAGUAUAUAAUCAAGCAUAUCUUGCCUUCAAACCUUGUAAAUCACCGUUGCAUUUAUUACCAAACUUUGUUCAAUCUCUGCUUUAUAUCAAUAAACGUAUUGCUGCUUCCCUCUUAAGAGAGAAGGGCAUCGCCCUAUUUCUCCUUCUGUGACAAACAGUGGAAUAAAAAAUAAAAGCUGUCAUGAGAAUUUACUCAGAAAACCUCAAGAUACAGUCCUAUGAUGAACUGAAGUUGCCCUGAGAACUGAAGGCAUGGUGCUCCUAUAAGGAACUGCAAGUCACUCAGUAAGAGAUUGUGAUUGUAUAGGACUCCAGUUAAGGCAACUACUAGCAAAGAACAUUUAACAUCAUGUUCUAGACUGGUACUAAUGAGCAACUACUGGCCUUACAGAAUCAAGCUCUUUCCUUAUCAUCCUCCCCAAUGCGUCUUUUCCCUAUCAUUUGCUGGGAACAGUCCUUGUCCACAACACUACAGUGGCACAUGGUUUAUGAUGGUGGUUGUCAUCACAGACCUAAACUGUCCUACAAGUCAUGCUAGCAAUGAAGCUGCACAAACCCUCAAGACCAUAUCCAGCCCCUGUCUACUUCUUCACUAAGUAGAUAUACAUCCGGGAAGGAUUGCAGUUGACUUUUUCAAAGAGCACCAUGCUUCUCUGACUUUUUGACCUUAAUGAUCCUGCAAACUAAAUUCUAAUCUCCAGCAUCUCUUCCCUCAGCCAUCAAUCUCCCAAACAGGGCACUCAAGCAGAAGCAGUGUGUCAAGUUUUUUUUGGUCCAGUCCUCUUGGACCCUGUGUAUUUUUCACCCAAGAACUAUUUAACAUAAUACAUAAAUGGCCAUUCUGAUGAGUUUUCAAUGCUGUUUUGUGGAUACAGCAGCCAUACACACAAUCAUUAUGUACCUGACAGCUGCAGAGAAAAAAAUCCUAGUUGUGCAGUUCCUCUCAUUCAUUAUCUGUACCAACAAGGCUGCAAUUCACAACAUUUAUUCUGUGCCAUGUUGGCACUUUACAAGCUGAUUUAUUCUUCCUUAACGACCUAUACAUUUGCUUAUAAACCAGACCUCCAGGCCUCCUAACCAUUUUAUGACCUCAGUUACAGUGUAUUCCUUCCUUCCUUCCUUCUUUCCUUCCUUCCUUCCUUCCUUCCUUCCU